UUUCCUUUUUUUUCUUUUUUUGCCACUACCAUACCACUCGGCAGUUUCUCAGGUCCCUCGCGCAGCUCGCUGAAAACGCAUGCAACUUUACUUUGAGUUGCAGUUGAAG